UUCACAUAAAGGUGCUGUCUUUGUGGCAAGGCCUAGGCAUGACAAUCGGAGGACUCGAGGGGGAUGGAGGACUAGUGAUCGGCUGGCUGCUUCCAGUCGAUUAGAGAGGUGAAAAAGCUGAACGUGUGCCAGUAAUCUUCAAAAGGCAGAACAUAUCACCUCUGCCCCGUAAACUGUUCUCUCCGAGGGAAAAAAUGGAAGUUAUCCUCACAGUUCACUGCCGUGGUAUUUCUUCUGUCCCAUGCUUUGCAUGACUGCCAUGGUACAGCCUUGUUUCAAACUGUUCACUGUGAUCUGUGGGUCUUUGAGUUUCAGUGAGUUUGCUGAAAUGUCGAAGAAGUAGUUCCAAACUUCAAUGUUCAAUGAAAUUUUUGUUCAAGUUUGAAAUGGAGAGAGCAGCUUUAAAAGGUACUAAGCCUUUUACAAAUUGGUGAGUACUGGCACAUGAGAUCUAGAGCAGGAGCAACUUCUCACACAUAGUAAGUGGGAAAAGAAAGUGCUUUGAAAGUUCCUCCCUCACCUACACAGUAGUCGUCAUGUCGAGACCUGCCAGAGAGAGACACAUUCUCAAGUGAAUCCUGGCUUCUUGGAAGCGCUUGCCUAGACGAGACACAGUGCAUAAAAACAACUUUUGGGGGACAGGUCCUCAAAAUGAGCACAUGAAGAGGUUGCUGUGAAACUUUAAGUGGCCCUACUGCGCAGAAGCAUUCAGAUGUCACUUGAUGAUCUAUGUGGAAGAUGUGAAAUUUGUCAUCAAUUAUGACUACCCUAACUCCUCAGAGGAUUAUAUUCAUCGAAUUGGAAGAACUGCUCGCAGUACCAAAACAGGCACAGCAUACACUUUCUUUACACCUAAUAACAUAAAGCAAGUGAGCGACCUUAUCUCUGUGCUUCGUGAAGCUAAUCAAGCAAUUAAUCCCAAGUUGCUUCAGUUGGUCGAAGACAGAGGUUCAGGUCGUUCCAGGGGUAGAGGAGGCAUGAAGGAUGACCGUCGGGACAGAUACUCUGCGGGCAAAAGGGGUGGAUUUAAUACCUUUAGAGACAGGGAAAAUUAUGACAGAGGUUACUCUAGCCUGCUUAAAAGAGAUUUUGGGGCAAAAACUCAGAAUGGUGUUUACAGUGCUGCAAAUUACACCAAUGGGAGCUUUGGAAGUAAUUUUGUGUCUGCUGG
rnacentral:sRNA from 1 species